rnacentral:rRNA from 1 species
CCUACGGGAGGCAGCAGUGAGGAAUAUUGGACAAUGGGCGGGAGCCUGAUCCAGCCAUGCCGCGUGCAGGAAGACGGUCCUAUGGAUUGUAAACUGCUUUUGUACGGGAAGAACAAGGGGCACGUGUGCCCUUCUGACGGUACCGUAAGAAUAAGGAUCGGCUAACUCCGUGCCAGCAGCCGCGGUA